CCGAGUAUUAAUUAUAACGACUAUAAAAUAUCAAAAAAAAAAAAAAUCAAAUAUAUAAUUAUGUAUACAUAGGUACCUACGGUAAACAUUUUAGUUUUAAAUGUUUAUUUAUUCAUUACCUAAUAUUUCUACGUAUUUCGCACCGUGGGUGGUUCACCGUAAGUAUAGGUAGGGAGUUUGAAAGUUACGGGUUAACCGGUGAAGAACGAUUGAGCGAAAUUUGUGCAAUCGUGUAUAUUUUAAUAGCCAUCGAAAUACACUCACGAUUGCGCAAGAUUUUAAAUGCAACGUUGCCAUGCAUAAAUAAAUA